CCUUCCCUUUCUGGGUAAGCAGAGCCCAACUAUAAAGAAAACUCUUAGAUAAGAAGAACUGCCUGCCUGGAAGAGAUUUGGAAAAUCUGAGGCAUCCAGAAAGACAUUCUUCAAUCUGUUGAGGUAUCUACAGGCUGUGCAGUAUGCUCCAGGUUCCCAGCUUUUAUGAGUUGUCACAUAUACUGGGGUGAGCUUUGAGGACACAGCUGUCUGAAUCAUCUCUGUUCCUGAAAACCUGCAAGCUUCAGAAAGUUCAUCAUACUGACCAGGAACAAAGAUAAUGAGUCUUCUUAGGUUAUGGUUUAUCUCCUGUCCUUAGACCAGAAGCCUAAAGUAUGCGAGGUCCUUAAGUCUAUGUAGUAACAAAAUCUAGCAACACAGGAAAACGAGCUGAUCACUAAUAAAAACAAAUGAGACAGCCA